rnacentral:rRNA from 1 species
AAAGGCCCCCGAAAGGGAGNCGCCCCGGAACCAGGCGCCCGCCGGGGGACCCAAACUCUUGUAUUUUCUUACCUAGCAUGUCUGAGUGGAAUCAUAAACAAAUGAAUCAAAACUUUCAACAACGGAUCUCUUGGUUCUGGCAUCGAUGAAGAACGCAGCGAAAUGCGAUAAGUAAUGUGAAUUGCAGAAUUCAGUGAAUCAUCGAAUCUUUGAACGCACAUUGCGCCCGCCAGUAUUCUGGCGGGCAUGCCUGUUCGAGCGUCAUUUCAACCCUCAAGCCCCAGCGGCCUGGUGUUGGGGACCGGNGACCUCGCCCGAGCCCGCCCUCCGGGGCGCGUGCCCGGUGCGUCCGCCGCCCCCGAAAUGAAUUGGCGGNCUCGUCGCGGCCUCCUCUGCGUAGUAGCACAACCUCGCAAGCGGGAGCGCGACGCGGCCACUGCCGUAAAACGCCCAACUUUUUUAGAGUUGAC